GACACAUAAGCUCCAACACUUUUGCACUGAACCAAACACAAAUCUCUGUGGGUCGACAUGUUACAAUCCAAAGACGCAUCGUUGCUGUGAGAGACACCAAAAGCCUUUUUGGUUCUGCGCCUCAGGUCAAAGCAAGGCCAGGGUGUAUGACCCACGUAUAGAAGUCUGCUUUAGUGGAUCCGUAUUUCGAUGCAAGCCGUGGAUAGAUCAA